rnacentral:rRNA from 1 species
CAGUGGCGAACGGGUGAGUAACACGUGGGCAAUCUGCCCUGCACUCUGGGACAAGCCCUGGAAACGGGGUCUAAUACCGGAUACGACCUUCCUCUGCAUGGGGGUUGGUGGAAAGCUCCGGCGGUGCAGGAUGAGCCCGCGGCCUAUCAGCUUGUUGGUGGGGUAAUGGCCUACCAAGGCGACGACGGGUAGCCGGCCUGAGAGGGCGACCGGCCACACUGGGACUGAGACACGGCCCAGACUCCUACGGGAGGCAGCAGUGGGGAAUAUUGCACAAUGGGCGAAAGCCUGAUGCAGCGACGCCGCGUGAGGGAUGACGGCCUUCGGGUUGUAAACCUCUUUCAGCAGGGAAGAAGCGCAAGUGACGGUACCUGCAGAAGAAGCACCGGCUAACUACGUGCCAGCAGCCGCGGUAAUACGUAGGGUGCGAGCGUUGUCCGGAAUUAUUGGGCGUAAAGAGCUCGUAGGCGGCCUGUCGCGUCGGAUGUGAAAGCCCGGGGCUUAACCCCGGGUCUGCAUUCGAUACGGGCAGGCUAGAGUGUGGUAGGGGAGAUCGGAAUUCCU